GUAAUUUAUUGGCACUGACAGGCCUGCACGAAGCCAUUGUUUAUUAGAAACUUUCUAAAGAUCCAAUAUUGUCAGACAAGAAAGAGUAAAGAAACCUGACACACAAACAGAAUGGCUUUGAAACAUGAUCAGACCAAACUGAGCUGUUGCAUUGCCUCCAGCGUCUCCUCGAUGGGCGUGGCAUGAUCAGGGGAGUGGAGGUAGAGAAUGUCCACACAAGAUGUUUGCAGAUUGGUCAGACAUUUGUUAGCUUGUUCGUAGACACACUCCUUCUUAAAAGCUGUCAAAUAAUUAUACUGUUUUCAUAACUUUACAGUAACUGCGUAUAACAUAGCAUUCAUUGCACUUACUGUAUUCCCCAAA